AUGGCCAUUCGAGUGUUGCUCCUUGCAGGAGCUCUCCUGGCCCUGGCAUGCUCGCAUGGCGCCACCGCCUCCGACCCCAGCCUUCUCCAAGACUUCUGCGUCGCUGACAAAAUGUCUCCAGUGCAUGUCAACGGACUGGCUUGCAAGGACGCGGAAGAAGUCACGGCCGAGGACUUCUACUUCUCUGGCCUCCACGUGACCGGCAACACGACGAACAAGCAGGGCUCUGCGGUGACCGCCGUCAAUGUCGCACAGAUCGGCGGACUGAAUACCAUGGGUGUCUCCCUUGUUCGCAUCGACUACGCGCCGUUUGGCCUCAACCCUCCCCACACCCACCCGCGUUCCACCUAG
rnacentral:rRNA from 1 species